GCCGAGGUGGUGAAACUGGUAGACGCACUGGACUCAAAAUCCAGCGGGGGCAACUCCAUGCGGGUUCGAUUCCCGCCCUCGGCACCA
rnacentral:tRNA from 2 species